GUGCCAGCCGCCGCGGUAAUACGGAGGACCCGAGCGUUAUCCGGAUUCAUUGGGUUUAAAGGGUGCGUAGGCGGCCCGGUCAGUCAGCGGUGAAAUGCCUGCGCUUCACGCAGGAACUGCCGUUGAUACUGCCGGGCUAGAAUCUUAGCGAGGCGGGCGGAAUGCGCAGUGUAGCGGUGAAAUGCAUAGAUAUUGCGCAGAACGCCGAUUGGGGAGCCAGCUCGCCAGCUGAGUAUUGACGCUGAGGCACGAAAGCGUGGGGAUCAAACAGGAUUAGAAACCCGCGUAGUCC
rnacentral:rRNA from 1 species